UAAGAUUCUCAUCUGUACUUUGUUAAAUCUGAUCUCGGGACAUUGACUAACCCAUUGAAACGCGUGUUUUUAAACUGUGAUUGCGCGCUGUACUUACCCAACCUGGGUCACCAUGUAAUCUGUCUCCUCAGACAUGAAUGAUUUUGCCUGAUGGAUUUAAUGGAAUGAUGAACAGCUCAUGUCCGGAUUAGAGCUGAAACUCCUCCACCCUUUGGACAAAGAGGGAGAGAGGGGGAGGUCACAUGACUUGAAUGACACCAGCUUUAAGUCUUAUAUGCACAACUGCGAAGGUUAAGUAACCGUGUAUGAUGUCAGCGGUAGCCUUGUGUUGAACAAAAACAGACCACAUGCAUUAUUGACCUCACAUAGAGCUGAGCCACUUUCAGCCACCACACAACACAAUGUACAAAAAGUUUGUGGUCAGUAGAAUGUUUUUUUUUUUCUUCUUUGAAGAAAUUAAUACUUUUAUUUAGCAAGGAUGCAUUAAAUUGAUCAGUAGUGACAGUAAAGACAUUUAUAAUGUUACAAAAGAUUUCUAACUCGAGUAAGUGGUGUUCUUUUGAACUUUCUAUUCAUCAAAGAA